UACAGGGGGUGCAAACGUUGCUCGGAAUCAUUGGGCGUAAAGCGCACGUAGGCGGUCUGUUAUGUCGGAUGUGAAAGCCCUCGGCUCAACUGAGGAAGUGCAUCCGAAACUGGCAGGCUAGAGUACUAAAGAGGGUCGCGGAAUUCCCGGUGUAGCGGUGAAAUGCGUAGAGAUCGGGAAGAACAUCGGUGGCGAAAGCGCUCUACUGGACCGCAACUGACACUCAGGGACGAAAGCUAGGGGAGCGAAUGGG
rnacentral:rRNA from 1 species